GAUGACACCAAGGACACACCAUCAUGAAGACAGAGCUCACCCUCUCCAGCGGAAUCAACAGUUUGAAGGACAGACUUUUCCCCUAAAGAAGCGUGUGGUCCCUCUGAUUAAGUGGUUCUCAACAGUUCAACAGUUCUUUGAAAAAAUUGUGAAAUGUUUAGGACCACUUGACCAGUCAGACAAAUGCUGCCAGCUUGGGAAAAUGUUGCCUUUGAAUGGAUCUUUAAACACGAAAACGUCUCUCAAGUCUCCUGAUUUGGAAGGAUUUUAGAAAAACUGUGAUUUUUCUCGUCUUCUCUGUUUCCUUAGUGUCUCUCUCUCUGUGUCUUCUACUCUCAUUGUGUCCUCUUGUGUUACAUUGCCAACUGCAGUCCAGGAACUGUGGGGGGCUGUAAAAAAUGAUCAGGCUUCAGUAAUUUUGUUCUGCUGGUACAUGUUUAAAUUUUUAACAGCUCUGCUGCUGCAGUAACACCCGUCUUUCCGCUGCUUUACUGUCGCCACUAUUCAGAAAUACUAAUUAAAAAGUCAAUAAAGAAU